ACUGGGGGCUACAUGAGGGGCCCUGAUUCCUGAGGAGACUGAUCUAGAGGCUGUGGUCACUAAAGGACUUGAGCGGGGGGCUCUGGUGACUGAAGCCUGAAUGAGGGGCUCUGGUCAGUGGGGGCUUAAGGGAAAGGCCACUUCUGUUAUUUCUGAACUGAGGUGGGGAGGGCUUCUCAGUGCUCCCUGUCAGCCCAGCAUUCUCCUGUGCCCUCCCAACCUGACCAGCAUGGCUCGCAAUAGCCAGAAGAUGGCACUGUGGCCUCGCAUGAUGAGAAGUGGGCAGGCUGCAGGCAGUCCUUGGGGUGAAUAAGCUCAGCAGAGACAAGCUCAGGUGCUGCCUCCAGCAGCUUUGGGAGCUGCAAGAAUUUGGGAGGGGGUGUGGUAAGACAGACCUUGAUCAAACUCUCUGGGGUGAUGGCCCAAAGCAGACCCGCUGGAAGCAGAGAAUGCUGUGCCAUGGGUUAGAAGGCCUCAGUGUCUUCCAUACCUCAGAAGGCAGGACGGGCUUGGUCAAUAGCUCCAGAGCUCAGAACAAACUUUAAUGCAAAUGUGGCCCAACAUACCCAGAUACACUUUCACUCCAGGAUGAAUGCAGCUGUCCCUGUCACACCACAGAUCCAAGACAAAUUAAGAUGUACCCUGAACAUUAAGCUGUCAUUUCCCGGCACUCUCAGUAUUCCAGAAGGAAUUAAGAGUCUGCACUCUGGCACAGUCAGAACUUGUCAUAGCCCAGAACUCAAUACCUCACUCAUAGGGUGUGGCCACAUUCCAGAACCAUGUCACAGUCCAGGGCCUUGUCAUACCCCAGAUAUAGACACAGAGUGGGGCUCUGGCAUCCCUCAAAUAAUGGCACGUCCCAGGAACCUCCAUGUACAGAACAACCCAGGGCCUGUCCUGUCAAUCUUUAUAUGCUGGCACUUCCCAGGGGCUUGUGACAGCCCCUGCUUGGCCCUGAGCUGUGAUAGCAUCUGAGAGGAUAAGAAAUACCACACACACGGAUCAGAUGCCUCCAAGCUGAAGAAGCCAGGCCCUGUUGACAGAAGAGAAGACUCAAGCCUGAUGUGCAGACAGCUCUGCAUGGGACACAGCCACCAGAUAGAAAUGGCCAGAGGGAAGGGGAGCCCAACUUCCAUACUGCCUGGAAUAACACAUAUCCUGGGGACAGGUUUACACUGAUUUCUGGGUGGUGUCUGGUGAUUUUGUCAGACUGCGAAGAGCUAAUGCAAGGCAUAUAUUGGAGUUAAUCACUUUUGUGAGCAACUGAGCUCUAUCUGUUGGAUCUUCUGAGAAUAAGUGUAAGAUGUUCCAUUUAUUUAUUUAUUUAUUUAUU